rnacentral:SRP_RNA from 1 species
AGGCUGGUUUGUGGACGAUCCACUCGCCAACCGGGUCAGAUCGGGAACGAAGCAGCCCCAACGAGAUUCCGGAUCGGGUCACGCUAAGCCAGUCUUCCA